UACCCGCAGCACAAGUGGUGGUCAUUAUUAUUGGGCCUAAAGCGUCCGUAGCUGGCCUGUUAGAUGCCUGGGUAAAUCGAUGCGCUCAACGUAUCGAACUCCGGGUAGACCGGCAGGCUUGGGACCGGGAGAGAUGUGAGCUACUCGAGGGGUAGGGGUAAAAUCCUGUAAUCCUUCGGGGAGGACCAGUGGCGAAGGCGUCACAUUAGAACGGCUCCGAUAGUGAGGGACGAAGCCCUGGGGCGCAAACCGG
rnacentral:rRNA from 1 species